rnacentral:rRNA from 1 species
AACACAGGUGCUGCAUGGCUGUCGUCAGCUCGUGUCGUGAGAUGUUGGGUUAAGUCCCGCAACGAGCGCAACCCUUGUCAUUAGUUGCUACAUUCAGUUGGGCACUCUAAUGAGACUGCCGGUGACAAACCCGGAGGAAGGUGGGGAUGACGUCAAGUCCUCAUGGCCCUUAUAGGUGGGGCUACACACGUCAUACAAUGGAUGGUACAAAGGGUCGCCAACCCGCGAGGGGGAGCCAAUCCCAUAAAGCCAUUCGUAGUCCGGAUCGCAGUCUGCAACUCGACUGCGUGAAGUCGGAAUCGCUAGUAAUCGUGGAUCAGAAUGUCACGGUGAAUACGUUCCCGGGUCUU